AUUGAACGCUGGCGGCAUGCCUUACACAUGCAAGUCGAACGGCAGCAUGGGUGCUUGCACCUGAUGGCGAGUGGCGAACGGGUGAGUAAUGCAUCGGAACGUACCCGGAAGUGGGGGAUAACGUAGCGAAAGUUACGCUAAUACCGCAUAUUCUGUGAGCAGGAAAGCGGGGGAUCGCAAGACCUCGCGCUUCCGGAGCGGCCGAUGUCGGAUUAGCUAGUUGGCGGGGUAAAGGCCCACCAAGGCAACGAUCCGUAGCGGGUCUGAGAGGAUGAUCCGCCACACUGGGACUGAGACACGGCCCAGACUCCUACGGGAGACAGCAGUGGGGAAUUUUGGACAAUGGGCGCAAGCCUGAUCCAGCCAUGCCGCGUGAGUGAAGAAGGCCUUCGGGUUGUAAAGCUCUUUCGGCGGGGAAGAAAUCGCAUCUCCUAAUACGGGGUGUGGAUGACGGUACCCGAAUAAGAAGCACCGGCUAACUACGUG
rnacentral:rRNA from 1 species